GACGAACCGUGCGAACGUUGUUCGGAAUCACUGGGCUUAAAGGGCGCGUAGGCGGAUCAGCAAGUCCGGGGUGAAAUCUUUCGGCUUAACCGGAAAAGUGCCUUGGAUACUGCUGGUCUCGAGGGAGGUAGGGGUCAUGGGAACUUCUGGUGGAGCGGUGAAAUGCGUUGAUAUCAGAAGGAACGCCGGUGGCGAAAGCGCAUGACUGGACCUCUUCUGACGCUGAGGCGCGAAAGCUAGGGGAGCGAACGGG
rnacentral:rRNA from 1 species